UGAACUUGUAGUAACCAGGCUGUGCAUUUGAGGUAGAGAGAGGUGAACAAGGGAGCUGGAAUCUGUCCCAAGUUCGUCUUGCAGCUGAAGGGAGAGUUGUGGCCUCGGAAGGAGUUUAUGUUUAUCAGUAUAUUUUAGAAGCAUUUCGGUAAUUCUAAUGCAUCAGUAAAGCCGUGAACUAUAGGUCUGUAUCAACUACAGGCAAGAAACUUAAUCCUUUUCUCCUUAUCUGUUUUAUAUAAUUUGAUAGAAAAUUACUGGAUCUAAUUUACGUUGAAAAUUCAUACAUCUCUCUCAAACUCUGGCAGUGAAGAGCGGGACAAUGCUUUUCACCUUAAUAAAGUGAUAGAGUAUAAGGAUCCUAGAAAGGUGAAUGCUAGUGCUGUUUAUUGCACUUUUUUUUUUCUUCUUCAGAUCUAAGGCUUUGCCUGAAUAAGGAGGAUGUGGAAAGAUAGCAUCCCGAUUCUCUUUUAACUUCCACCGUCGCAUCCUGCUUGUUCCUAUAUGCUCUUAUGCCUGCAGGAUUGGAGAAUCCAUGUGGACCAAAUGCCCCAGCACAAAAAUGGAAUUGAAACUGCUCUAAAGGAGACCAAGUUAUGCGAUGACGCUGGGCUUGAACUUGGGACAUCGGUACAGACGACUCCAGAACAUGAUUUAGCACGACAUUCUUCAUUAACUUGAAGGGUCAUUAACCCUUGAAGGGUCAUCAUGAAUCUUCCUGGAAAGCAAAUGAUAUUUUUCCUUGGCAUCUUACCUGGGUGCCCAUGGACGGACCUUCAUCUCAUAGCAUUUCCCACGUUAGAUUUAUGGCUCCACUUGAAAGCCUGAUUCUUUGGUGGAAGGAACAUUAACACAAGUGCUUCAAUUAAAAAGACAAGCAUGGGGUUCCUGCUGUGGCCCACCAGGAUCUGAGGUGUCUCUAUAGCACCAGGAUGCAGGUUUGAUCCCUGGCUGACACAGUGGCUUAAAGGGUCUGAUAUUGCCUCAGUGCUGCAGGUCACUGUGGCUU
rnacentral:lncRNA from 1 species